rnacentral:rRNA from 1 species
AGAAUCAACGCUGGCGGCGUGCCUAACACAUGCAAGUCGCACGAGAAAGUGGAGCAAUCCAUGAGUAAAGUGGCGCACGGGUGAGUAACACGUGAAUUAUCUACCUCCGAGUGGGGAAUAACUGAGAGAAAUCUUAGCUAAUACCGCAUAACACUUACGAGUCAAAGCAGCAAUGCGCUUGGAGAGGAGUUCGCGGCCGAUUAGUUAGUUGGCGGGGUAAUGGCCCACCAAGACGAUGAUCGGUAUCCGGCCUGAGAGGGCGCACGGACACACUGGAACUGAAACACGGUCCAGACUCCUACGGGAGGCAGCAGUGGGGAAUUUUGCGCAAUGGGGGAACCCUGACGCAGCAACGCCGCGUGGAGGAUGAAGCCCCUUGGGGUGUAAACUCCUUUCGAUCGGGAAGAUAAUGACGGUACCGAUAUAAGAAGCCCCGGCUAACUUCGUGCCAGCAGCCGC